GAAAAUGUCUACAGCAUUUUCAAUAAAGGGUUCCUUGACUAGAACAAGCUACUGAAACCCAACAUGUAAAUCUAGAAGAUGCCAAGGUCUGCAUGACAACAGCGGAAACAAAGAUGCAGCUAACCGCUAUUCUCCUAUCUUGCCUUGAGCUUCACCUAUCUUCCAUAGGGGUGGUAACGGCCAGCACUAGAACCGGUACCAGGACCAGCACCUGUGCCAGCACCAGCACCACCAACACCAUAGCUGCUCCUACCAUAGAGUCCACCUGAACCAUAACCAGUACCUGGGCCAGCA
rnacentral:misc_RNA from 1 species